rnacentral:lncRNA from 1 species
AGCAUUUCUCCUCUGCUAGGCCAUUGAUGUUCCUGCUUUUUUUCACAUGGAUGGUCAGCUGUGUUGGAAGUGAGCUUCCUGAAAUUGCUGCUGGCCAGCUCAGACCGGAUGCUCAAGGUAAGAUAAGAUUUAUAAAAUAUUUAUAUUGACAAUUUUUUUGUCAAUUUUUUUAGUGAAAUGUAAAAAAUGGAAAAAAUAAGACAAUUUGCUCGCAUGUACAUGUAAAUGCCGUAAUUUUAUUGUUUAUAUAUAUAUAUAUAUAUAUAUAUAUAUAUAUAUAUAUAUAUAUAUAUAUAUAUAUAUAUAUAUAUAUAUAUAUAUAUAUAUAUAUAUAUAUAUAUAUAUAUGUAUAUAUAUGCCAACGCUAGUUUUUUGUGUACGUCGCAUAUUUAGCCGAUCAGGUUUCAUAAAACAUAGCCAAUCGUAAAGCUAAUGACCUAACCAAUAAUAAUCAGAUGUGGUUGGCCAAAGUAACAUGGCCAAAGUAGUUUUGCCUAGUUUAGUAGAUUUUUGCUACGAUAUUUGGCUACCAAAACAAAAUGGCGAUUUGUCGAGGAGUGAUGGAAUCGAUGUAUAUUAUUAAAUAUAAAAUAUUAGCAAGGUGCAAGAGAAUGAAACAUAUGUGGAUGAUUGGAAGUUGUGCAGUUUUGUUGCCAGUUAUAUCGAGAAUUAUGGCAAAAGAUUAUGGCGUUGGGAUUUGCAUAUUUUUUCUGUUUUUUUUACUGGGAAAAUGGGACCAAAAAUUCAACCAUUGGUGACAAAAUUCAAGCUGGUAGAAUUUGAUUGAACUCUCCGUGAAACCCAUUAGUUACCACUGUUCUGGUAAUGUAAGUAUCACAUGGUAAUGGCAAAAUCCUUCCUCAUCCCCAGGUGCUAUAGAAAAUGUUUACAUGAAGUAUUCUCAUGACAUGACAUUUCCAGGUGCAUCAGCUUGGGAACAAGGGCCGAAGCUACCCAAACAUUUAAACAAUAUAUGGGAGUGAAUUGGGUGUCUAUGAGCAUAAAUACAUAUUUAAUUGCCCUUUAAAUCUAUUAAUUUCUUUUAGGUUUUGUCAAUUUACUUGAAAUUGGACAGAAACAUAGUCGACAUAUUAAACAGGAUUAUUUAUUUCCAAGACAAACUGCUGAAGAAUUUUCUCUAUUGUUUAUUAUCAAAACCGGUUGGACAGGAAACCUUAUUCAAUUUUUUUCAAGUUCAGAACUUUCGCCUGUUAUUCAUUUAUUCCGAAUUAGCUUAACGAGCUCUUCUCUAAUGCUAUAUAAUGAGAAGGGGGAGUCGGUUAGGUUUGGUCUACAGCCUGGUACAGCAACAUGGAGACAGCUUGCUGUGAGAGUAGUGAAGGACUCCAUAGCUUUGUAUAGUACCUGUGAGAAUGCACCGAUGAUAUCAUUUCCACGGAAUUUGACGCUGUGGCGCGAAGGUGGCGUUGUCGUCGGUGAUGAAGACCACGAAAGUGAAGAUCAUUUGGAGGUAAUGGUGAUGGUGAUGAUUAUGGUGGUGGUGAUGAUGAUGGUGAUGAUGGUGAUGAUGAUGGUGGUGAUGAUGGUGAUGAUGGUGAUGAUGGUGAUGAUGGUGAUGAUGAUGAUGAU